GCCUGUUUAUCAAAAACAUGGCCUUUUGUGAAUAAUUUAAGGUCUGGCCUGCCCAAUGAUUUGGUUAAAUGGCCGCGGUACUCUGACCGUGCAAAGGUAGCAUAAUCAUUAGUUUUUUAAUUGAAAGCUGGUAUGAACGGUCGGACAAGAAAAUUACUGUCUCAAUUUAAUGGUUUUAGAAUUUUAUUUUUUAGUUAGAAGGCUAAAAUGGUCUUAAGGGACGAGAAGACCCUAUAGAAUUUUAUAAAUUUUAUUGGGUUGGGUUUUUAGAUUUAUUAAUUAGACUUGGUAAAAUUUAUUUUGUUGGGGUGAUGGAAAAAUUUGAGAAACUUUUUUUUGUAAAAAAAUCAUUAAUUUAUGAUUGGGUGAUCCGUUUAUAGCGAUUACAAGAUUAAAUUACCUUAGGGAUAACAGCGUUAUUAGUCUGGGGAGUUCUUAUCGAUAGACUAGUUUGCGACCUCGAUGUUGGAUUAAAAUAAACUUUUGGUGUAGGGGCUGGAAAGUUAAGUCUGUUCGACUUUUAAAAUUUUACUUGAUCUGAGUUCAGACCGG
rnacentral:rRNA from 1 species